UGUAUAAUGGGUCAGCGACUUAUAUUCUGUAGCAAGGUUAACCGAAUAGGGGAGCCGAAGGGAAACCGAGUCUUAACUGGGCGUUAAGUUGCAGGGUAUAGACCCGAAACCCGGUGAUCUAGCCAUGGGCAGGUUGAAGGUUGGGUAACACUAACUGGAGGACCGAACCGACUAAUGUUGAAAAAUUAGCGGAUGACUUGUGGCUGGGGGUGAAAGGCCAAUCAAACCGGGAGAUAGCUGGUUCUCCCCGAAAGCUAUUUAGGUAGCGCCUCGUGAAUUCAUCUCCGGGGGUAGAGCACUGUUUCGGCAAGGGGGUCAUCCCGACUUACCAACCCGAUGCAAACUGCGAAUACCGGAGAAUGUUAUCACGGGAGACACACGGCGGGUGCUAACGUCCGUCGUGAAGAGGGAAACAACCCAGACCGCCAGCUAAGGUCCCAAAGUCAUGGUUAAGUGGGAAACGAUGUGGGAAGGCCCAGACAGCCAGGAUGUUGGCUUAGAAGCAGCCAUCAUUUAAAGAAAGCGUAAUAGCUCACUGGUCGAGUCGGCCUGCGCGGAAGA
rnacentral:rRNA from 1 species